UGCAGGACGUGGAAGAACAAGCUCAUAACUGUUUUAAGAUUAAUGAGUGAAGUUUGUGGUUCUGUUUUAAGUGUGAGCCGACAUCACUUGUGUAAGAGACACAUGUGACACCAAUGCUUUUGUGCUUUAGUGCCGACUUCACUUGUGUCUUUUGUAUUUGUGUGUCGACAUCUCUUAAUACAGUCGUGCUCUCUUUUGUGUUUUUAUGUCGACAUCUCUUAAUACACUCGUGACUCUCUUUUGUAAUUUGGUUUGAAUGUAUUUUUUUUUUUAUUCUUCAAGUUAUGUUCUUUAGUUUCUCUA